rnacentral:rRNA from 1 species
UACGUAGGGGGCUAGCGUUGUCCGGAAUCAUUGGGCGUAAAGCGCGUGUAGGCGGUCCGGUAAGUUCGCUGUGAAAGUCGGGGGCUCAACCCUCGGAUGCCGGUGAAUACUGUCGGGCUUGAGUACGGAAGAGGCGAGUGGAAUUCCUGGUGUAGCGGUGAAAUGCGCAGAUAUCAGGAGGAACACCAAUUGCGAAGGCAGCUCGCUGGGACGUUACUGACGCUGAGACGCGAAAGCGUGGGGAGCAAACAGG